rnacentral:rRNA from 1 species
AAUCAACGCUGGCGGCGUGCCUCAGACAUGCAAGUCGAACGAUUAAACUUUCCUUCGGGAAAGAUAUAAAGUGGCGCACGGGUGAGUAACACGUAAGUAAUCUACCUUCGAGUGGGGAAUAACGUCGGGAAACCGACGCUAAUACCGCAUAAUGCAGCGGCACCUAAUGGUGACAGUUGUUAAAGGAGCAAUUCGCUUGAAGAGGAGCUUGCGGCAGAUUAGCUAGUUGGUAAGGAACGGCUUACCAAGGCUACGAUCUGUAACCGGUCUAAGAGGACGGUCGGUCACACUGACACUGAAUAACGGGUCAGACUCCUACGGGAGGCAGCAGUCGGGAAUUUGGGCAAUGGGCGAAAGCCUGACCCAGCAACGCCGCGUGAAGGAUGAAGUAUUUCGGUAUGUAAACUUCGAAAGAAUGGGAAGAAUCAAUGACGGUACCAUUUAUAAGGUCCGGCUAACUACGUGCCAGCAGCCGCAGUAAC